UACGUAGGUGGCAAGCGUUGUCCGGAAUUACUGGGCGUAAAAAGCGCGCAGGCGGCUGGUCAAGUCCGAUGUGAAAGCUCCCGGCUUAACUGGGAAAUUGCAUCGGAAACUGAUCGGCUUGAAGGUGGGAGAGGGUAGUGGAAUUCCCGGUGUAGUGGUGAAAUGCGUAGAUAUCGGGAGGAACACCAGUGGCGAAGGCGACUACCUGGCCCACUCUUGACGCUGAGGCGCGAAAGCUAGGGGAGCGAACGGG
rnacentral:rRNA from 1 species